rnacentral:rRNA from 1 species
GCUGGAAUCGCUAGUAAUCGCGGAUCAGAAUGCCACGGUGAAUACGUUCCCGGGUCUUGUACACACCGCCCGCCACACCAUGGGAGUCGGAAAUGCCCGAAGUCUGUGACCCAACCUCAGGGAGGGAGCAGCCGAAGGCAGGUCGGAUGACUGGGGUGAAGUCGUAACAAGGUACC